GNNNUUGCGCAUGGGGGAAACCCUGNCGCAGCAACGCCGCGUGGGUGAUGAAGGCCUUCGGGUCGUAAAGCCCUGUCAGGUGGGAAGAAACUCGUGGAUGCUAAUAUCAUCUACGCUUGACGGUACCACCGGAGGAAGCACCGGCUAACUCCGUGCCAGCAGCCGCGGUAAUACNGGAGGGUGCAAGCGUUGUUCGGAAUUAUUGGGCGUAAAGCGCGUGUAGGUGGUCGGGUAAGUCAGAUGUGAAAGCCUCCUGCUUAACAGGAGAAGUGCAUUUGAAACUGCUCGGCUAGAGUACGGGAGAGGAGAGUGGAAUUCCCGGUGUAGAGGUGAAAUUCGUAGAUAUCGGGAGGAACACCAGUGGCGAAGGCGGCUCUCUGGUCCGAUACUGACGCUGAGACGCGAAAGCGUGGGGAGCAAACAGGAUUAGAUACCCUGGUAGUCCACGCCGUAAACGAUGGGCACUAGGUGUAGGAGGUAUUGACCCCUUCUGUGCCGAAGCUAACGCAUUAAGUGCCCCGCCUGGGGAGUACGGCUGCAAGGCUAAAACUCAAAAAAAUUGACGGA
rnacentral:rRNA from 1 species